rnacentral:rRNA from 1 species
CACGUAGGGCGCAAGCGUUGUCCGGAAUUAUUGGGCGUAAAGAGCUCGUAGGCGGUUUGUCGCGUCUGCUGUGAAAACUGGGGGCUCAACCCCCAGCCUGCAGUGGGUACGGGGCAGACUAGAGUGCGGUAGGGGAGAUUGGAAUUCCUGGUGUAGCGGUGGAAUGCGCAGAUAUCAGGAGGAACACCGAUGGCGAAGGCAGAUCUCUGGGCCGUAACUGACGCUGAGGAGCGAAAGCAUGGGGAGCGAACAGG